rnacentral:rRNA from 1 species
GUAGGGAAUAUUGGGCAAUGGAUGCAAGUCUGACCCAGCCAUCCCGCGUGCCGGAAGAAGGCCCUCAGGGUUGUAAACGGCUUUUGACGGUGAAGAAUCGACAGGAUGCGUCCUGUUUUGACGGUAGCCGUUGAAUAAGCACCGGCUAACUCCGUGCCAGCAGCCGCGGUAAUACGGAGGGUGCGAGCGUUGUCCGGAUUUAUUGGGUUUAAAGGGUGCGUAGGAUGGAAGGUCAGUCAGCGGUGAAAAGCUGUCGCUUAACGAUAGUCUUGCCGCAGAUACUUCCUUUCUUGGAUGAGGAGGAGGCCACUGGAACGGAUGGUGUAGCGGUGAAAUGCAUAGAUAUCAUCCAGAACACCGAUUGCGAAGGCAGGUGGCUGUACCUUAAUCGACGCUGAUGCACGAAAGCAUGGGGAGCAAACAGGAUUAGAAACCCUUGUAGUCC